GCAGCUGAGGGGAGAGAGCGUGGAGGGCUGCUGCUUUAUUUAACCUUCAUGACAACUCCCUUUUACCUUUGGAGGUCCAGUUAAAGAAAGCGUCUGCUCAUGGAAAGAAUGUUCCCAGGGCGGCCUCAUUUAUUCCUCCCAAAGCCGGAGGGAAGCCAGGACAGACCUUGGUCCCACGGAGAGCUCUCGGAAGCUGAGGCCCUCCUCCAGAAGCGCAUCCUUGGCUCCAGUUACUCAGGGGAAAAAACCUUCAAUAAAGUGGAUCACCUCAGGGGUGAGACCAAGCUCCUUUGAGGAUGUUAUCAAAGAAAUGGAGGCUGGUUUCUGUCAUGCAGACCCCAUCAUCCUUGUUCCUGGUCUUCAUAUUUCUGCCAGAAAAGGCCUGCAUCUCCCCGACAAUGAAGAGAUCAUUUACUCCUAGUCCAUGACCCAUACACCCAGAUGUCUCUAAAGACCAACACCAGCCCUCAGCCCAGCGCCUAGAGUGCCUGGCACAUAGGAAGUUCAGAAUAAACACCACAGGUGAAUGAAUGAAUGAGUGAGUAACAGAUGUGUGGUGGACGCUGGCUGGAUAGAUGAACGAGUAUUGCUACGACUGGCCUUUCU